CGGAGGGAUCAUUAAAGAGUUCUAUAACUCCCAAACCCAUGUGAACAUACCUAACGUUGCCUCGGCAGGUCGCACCUACCUUGUAGCACCCUACCCUGUAGGGCCUACCCGGGAGAUGCGGGUAAGCCUGCCGGCGGCCCACCAAACUCUGUUUGAUAUUGAAUUCUGAACAUAUAACUAAAUAAGUUAAAACUUUCAACAACGGAUCUCUUGGUUCUGGCAUCGAUGAAGAACGCAGCGAAAUGCGAUAAGUAAUGUGAAUUGCAGAAUUCAGUGAAUCAUCGAAUCUUUGAACGCAUAUUGCGCCCAUUAGUAUUCUAGUGGGCAGGACCGUUCGAGCGUCAUUUCGACCCUUAAGCCUUAGUUGCUUAGUGUUGGGAGCCUACGGCAACGUAGCUCCUCAAAGUUAGUGGCGGAGUUGGUUCACACUCUAGACGUAGUAAUUUUUUAUCUCGCCUAUUAGUUGGACUGAUCCCCUGCCGUAAAACCCCCAACUUAUCAAGGUUGACCUCGAAUCGGUUCAGACAAACUCGCUAAAUUGAAGCAUCUUAGUCAGCGAAGGAAAAGAAACCAACAGGGAUUGCCCUAGUAACGGCGAGUGAAGCGGC
rnacentral:rRNA from 1 species